GGGGUAUUGGCGCAGUUGGGAGCGCGCUUGAAUGGCAUUCAAGAGGCCACGGGUUCAAGUCCCGUAUACUCCA
rnacentral:tRNA from 3 species